rnacentral:misc_RNA from 1 species
GCGAGCACACUCUUCCUCGCGGCUCAUGAAGCCGGCUGUGUGCACUUGCGAGGCCAAGGUAAGGAGGUAGGCGGAGUGACUCAGCGAGCACGCCGCAUACCGAGGAGCGAGGGCGACACGUGAAGCCAGGCAUCCUAUGCUGCAGGAGAAAACAGCACCGGCGUGAUCGAACCUCAUGCUCAUGCUCCUUGCUGGUGAGUACAGAACACACGGAAUAGAAACGAAUCUUUUUUUGUUCAAGUGGCGGAGAAGCAGACGGCAUUGCGCAUGGCUGCCUACCAUGCCUUCCUGCGCCCACCAGCUCUCCCUCCCCACAUUCUAAAAGGUAGGGAAGCAGAGCAUCAACGAGUAAUCGCUCAGUGAGGCGAUAGACAUCACCGAACGGCAUCCAACAGCCCAUCUGUGAGAAUCAGGUGCCGCGAUACACUCGCUCGUACGAACAGGCAUUUCGUGGGCUCAUCCUUUUUCGGAAAAGAGGGUGUGCGCGUGGGUGCCUUAAUCCUGCUCAUGACGCUUCUGGGCCGCAAUGCCACCCAAGGUCUAGCAGAUCAUAACUGGGAUAUGCGCUCGAGGGCAUAUCCUGCGGGUCAGCGCACCUUCCACCCCUUCACGGACACCCCCUGCCGUAGCCACCUACCCGCCAGAUGAUCAUAGCGUCUAUUUUCUGCUACUCAUAAAAUAAGAAAGACAGCCUUGUACACUCCAGGUGCAGGCUGAGAUUCAUGUGUAGCUGCCUUCUUGGAGGCAGGCUUUCAUGGCGGCCGUCUAGAUGGCUCUACAGAGAUUUUGCGUUCAAUAUCCUGCGCACUUUGACUGGCAGCAGUGCGUCGCAUCUGCUGAUUGCCGCCCACCCACCCACCCACCUCACAAAAAAUUUUGUAGUCGAAUACCUGAUCUCAUCAAGCGGUGAGCAGGGUUGAAACCCUUUUUUUUGCCGGCCCUCACAAUGUGGCGGCUCCAUCGGCGAGGAAGAUACCAAAUCGUCGUUUAGUUUUGUUGCCAGGUGUAGUGAGGCGUUCCUCUACGGGUGACACUACCAUCGGUGAUUUUUUACGUUUACUUGACGAAGAUGUUGCGGCGACUUUGCUUCGCGACGUGCGCCGUGUGGUCUUGCAUCGAGAGUUGGUGGCCAAUGAUGCACUCUACUGCUGCAACGUCAUGUAGGAGGUGUGACCCGUUUAUUCGCAGCAGUUGGCUCACUGACGUUCCGUUGCCUGCUCUGCACUUAUUGCUGCGCCCCUUUCUCGCCGGCGGCCAACACGCACAGCCGGCUUGGCUCUUUCAGUGGCUCGCGUGCUGAUGGUCCGUCUACCAGGUACGCGAGUACGCUUUUCGCCGCUUUGCAGACUCGCCACCAUGCUCCAACGAGUGCUCGCCAUUUAGAUCCAUCACCGGCGCUGUGGUGGAUUAGUGCGAGUCCCUGAAGCGCCUCGCCUUUUUCGCGGCGCGUGUAGGGUGUGCAUCGGGAGUGUGACGAUGCGCCGUCCCUUUCGAUGUCUUGCCCGUGACCUUUACCUUGUCGAGCUCUUUCAGUUGUGCUGCACACUGCGGCAGGAUGCGCAGAAAAAUAGAGAGUUGCCGGUUCCAAAUUCAACGGGUAUCACUUGCCUUUCCGCAGGUCAGCUUCGUCGAGGGGCGGCGGGGGGGGGGAUAGGGCCUCCCUCUCCCUCCGCAAUCAGGCCGCUGUCUUUGCCGUGUGCAUCCACACUGGCACCGGUUGUAGGCGUGUAUCUUUCUUCUUGUUUCGUUAAGAUAUAGGCGGAACAGCUGCGCCGUGUGGAUCGGGUUCAGCUCGGCCGAAAAAGCCGUCACGUUUCAAUGAUGUGCUCAUGCCAGUUUUGUCGAGCGUGAGACGUACCUUCGCCAGCGGUCGCUGCUGGAGUGGUUGUGGGCAUCGGCCGCAUGUCCAAGGUCCAUCAGCAUUCUUCGCUUGGUAUCUGUUUUUCUUGUGGUCUCCUGUCGCAAGGUAGACGACCUCGAUGGCGACCUCUUCCCUGCCUUUCUUUUUUUUUAUUCCGCAGUAGCACCUUGGGAACCCGCCAGUGCGCAAGUUCUAGGAGGUGCCAGAGCGCC